AGAGGAUAGAGUUAUUAAGUCUAAAGUCCAUUAUUUGCUUUUGUCCUUCAGGAAAAGAUGGUCCUGACUCUGGGUGGAUCUAACAAGGAUCCUGGAACUCCAGGGGUAUGGCUUAAUUCUUAGCGGAUUCGAUCCUGGCUUUACAUCAAGUCUCACAGGUUCUGCUUUUUGGAUUUACCGGGAACUUCCCAGUCCAGACGAUUGGAAUUACAGCAUUAUACUUUGACUGGUAUGAUCUUCUGCUUUCGGGAACGCUGCGAGGAGCUUUGUGAGUCGAGGGCGAUGGUUCUCCCCGAGAAUACCUCGGCGCCGGCCGGAGUUCGAUCGACACUCGAUCUCGUCCGGUCUCACUCGCAAGGUCCCGUCUGGGUCGCCAAAACCGUUACCGAAAUCCGGAAUAGAACUCCUUAACACCAACGUGAAGUUAAGAAGCGGGCACUUCGUUUAUCGCAGCGCUGGGGACACCGGGGAUCGCUCCUCCAAAGGCGUGUCCCACUUAGUAUCAAAAUCCAUCAGUUUUUACAGACUUUUUCUGUCAGGUCAUUGUUACAUAAGCUCUUUCCAUAAAAAGGCAUACUAUGCUCGUUCUUAAAUUUAA